UUCCUGGAAAAGGACAGCUGAGAGGGUGAAACUCCCGUCCGCCUGGUAGGAUGAGUCUUUGUCAACGAGUCGAGUCGUUUGGGAUUGCAGCUCUAAUUUGGUGGUAAAUUCCAUCUAAAGCUAAAUAUUGGUGGGAGACCGAUAGCGUACAAGUACCGUGAGGGAAAGAUGCAAAGAACUUUGAAAAGAGAGUUAAAGAGUACCUGAAAUUGCUGAAACGGAAGCGAAGGAAACCAGUGUUUGUUGGUUCAUAUUUCCCUGGCCACUUGUGGUUUGGGCG
rnacentral:rRNA from 1 species